AAAUUGAAGAGUUUGAUCAUGGCUCAGAUUGAACGCUGGCGGCAGGCCUAACACAUGCAAGUCGAACGGUAACAGGAAGCAGCUUGCUGCUUUGCUGACGAGUGGCGGACGGGUGAGUAAUGUCUGGGAAACUGCCUGAUGGAGGGGGAUAACUACUGGAAACGGUGGCUAAUACCGCAUAACGUCGCAAGACCAAAGAGGGGGACCUUCGGGCCUCUUGCCAUCAGAUGUGCCCAGAUGGGAUUAGCUUGUUGGUGAGGUAACGGCUCACCAAGGCGACGAUCCCUAGCUGGUCUGAGAGGAUGACCAGCCACACUGGAACUGAGACACGGUCCAGACUCCUACGGGAGGCAGCAGUGGGGAAUAUUGCACAAUGGGCGCAAGCCUGAUGCAGCCAUGCCGCGUGUAUGAAGAAGGCCUUCGGGUUGUAAAGUACUUUCAGCGGGGAGGAAGGUGUUGUGGUUAAUAACCGCAGCAAUUGACGUUACCCGCAGAAGAAGCACCGGCUAACUCCGUGCCAGCAGCCGCGGUAAUACGGAGGGUGCAAGCGUUAAUCGGAAUUACUGGGCGUAAAGCGCACGCAGGCGGUCUGUCAAGUCGGAUGUGAAAUCCCCGGGCUCAACCUGGGAACUGCAUUCGAAACUGGUAGGCUUGAGUCUUGUAGAGGGGGGUAGAAUUCCAGGUGUAGCGGUGAAAUGCGUAGAGAUCUGGAGGAAUACCGGUGGCGAAGGCGGCCCCCUGGACAAAGACUGACGCUCAGGUGCGAAAGCGUGGGGAGCAAACAGGAUUAGAUACCCUGGUAGUCCACGCCGUAAACGAUGUCUACUUGGAGGUUGUGCCCUUGAGGCGUGGCUUCCGGAGCUAACGCGUUAAGUAGACCGCCUGGGGAGUACGGCCGCAAGGUUAAAACUCAAAUGAAUUGACGGGGGCCCGCACAAGCGGUGGAGCAUGUGGUUUAAUUCGAUGCAACGCGAAGAACCUUACCUGGUCUUGACAUCCACAGAACUUUCCAGAGAUGGAUUGGUGCCUUCGGGAACUGUGAGACAGGUGCUGCAUGGCUGUCGUCAGCUCGUGUUGUGAAAUGUUGGGUUAAGUCCCGCAACGAGCGCAACCCUUAUCCUUUGUUGCCAGCGGUCCGGCCGGGAACUCAAAGGAGACUGCCAGUGAUAAACUGGAGGAAGGUGGGGAUGACGUCAAGUCAUCAUGGCCCUUACGACCAGGGCUACACACGUGCUACAAUGGCGCAUACAAAGAGAAGCGACCUCGCGAGAGCAAGCGGACCUCAUAAAGUGCGUCGUAGUCCGGAUUGGAGUCUGCAACUCGACUCCAUGAAGUCGGAAUCGCUAGUAAUCGUGGAUCAGAAUGCCACGGUGAAUACGUUCCCGGGCCUUGUACACACCGCCCGUCACACCAUGGGAGUGGGUUGCAAAAGAAGUAGGUAGCUUAACCUUCGGGAGGGCGCUUACCACUUUGUGAUUCAUGACUGGGGUGAAGUCGUAACAAGGUAACCGUAGGGGAACCUGCGGUUGGAUCACCUCCUUA
rnacentral:rRNA from 1 species